rnacentral:rRNA from 1 species
UCCGGUUGAUCCUGCCAGAGGUUACUGCUAUCGGAGUUCGAUUAAGCCAUGCGAGUCUAAAGGUUUCUUCGGAAACCUUGGCGGACUGCUCAGUAACACGUGGAUAACCUACCCUUGGGACUGGAAUAACCCCGGGAAACUGGGGAUAAUACCGGAUAGAUCAGGGAUGCUGGAAUGCGCCUUGAUCCAAAGCUCCGGCGCCCAAGGAUGGGUCUGCGGCCUAUCAGGUUGUAGUGGGUGUAACGUACCUACUAGCCGACGACGGGUACGGGUUGUGAGAGCAAGAGCCCGGAGAUGGAUUCUGAGACACGAAUCCAGGCCCUACGGGGUGCAGCAGGCGCGAAACCUUUACAAUGUGCGAAAGCAUGAUAAGGGAACUCCGAGUGCCAGUAUCUAAUACUGGCUGUCCUUGUGCCUAAAACGCACAAGAUAGCAAGGGCCGGGUAAGACCGGUGCCAGCCGCCGCGGUAACACCGGCGGCCCGAGUGGUAGCCGCUAUUAUUGGGUCUAAAGGGUCCGUAGCCGGUUCGAUAAGUCCUCUGGGAAAUCUGGUUGCUUAACAAUCAGACUGCCAAGGGAUACUGUCGAACUUGAGACCGGGAGAGGUAAGAGGUACUUCAGGGGUAGGAGUGAAAUCUUGUAAUCCCUGGGGGACCAUCUGUGGCGAAGGCGUCUUACCAGAACGGGUCUGACGGUGAGGGACGAAAGCUGGGGGCGCAAACCGGAUUAGAUACCCGGGUAGUCCCAGCCGUAAACGAUGCUCGCUAUGUGUCAGGUACGGUGUGACCGUAUCUGGUGCCGUAAGGGAAGCCGUGAAGCGAGCCACCUGGGAAGUACGGUCGCAAGACUGAAACUUAAAGGAAUUGGCGGG